rnacentral:rRNA from 1 species
CAGUCGCCGCGGGAAUACGAAGGGGGCUAGCGUUGCUCGGAAUGACUGGGCGUAAAGGGCGCGUAGGCGGCAUACACAGUCAGGCGUGAAAUUCCUGGGCUCAACCUGGGGGCUGCGCUUGAUACUUGGUUGCUUGAGUGGGGAAGAGGGUCGUGGAAUUCCCAGUGUAGAGGUGAAAUUCGUAGAUAUUGGGAAGAACACCGGUGGCGAAGGCGGCGACCUGGUCCUUGACUGACGCUGAGGCGCGAAAGCGUGGGGAGCAAACAGGAUUAGAUACCCGCGUAGUCCCUGUCUCUUAUAA